GCGCCCGUAGCUCAGCUGGAUAGAGCAACGGCCUUCUAAGCCGUAGGUCACUGGUUCGAAUCCAGUCGGGCGUACCA
rnacentral:tRNA from 1 species